UUUCGACCUGAGCUCAGGCAAGACUACCCGCUGAACUUAAGCAUAUCAAUAAGCGGAGGAAAAGAAACUAACCAGGAUUCCCCUAGUAACGGCGAAUGAACCGGGAAAAGCCCAACUUGAAAAUCUCCAGCCUUCGGCUGGCGAAUUGUAUCUAUAAAAGCUCUUCUGUGGCGAACCGGUCUCAAGUGCCUUGGAAAGGGAC
rnacentral:rRNA from 1 species